rnacentral:rRNA from 1 species
AGUGAACGCUGGCGGUAGGCCUAACACAUGCAAGUCGAACGGCAGCACAGUAAGAGCUUGCUCUUACGGGUGGCGAGUGGCGGACGGGUGAGGAAUACAUCGGAAUCUACUUUUUCGUGGGGGAUAACGUAGGGAAACUUACGCUAAUACCGCAUACGACCUACGGGUGAAAGCAGGGGAUCUUCGGACCUUGCGCGAUUGAAUGAGCCGAUGUCGGAUUAGCUAGUUGGCGGGGUAAAGGCCCACCAAGGCGACGAUCCGUAGCUGGUCUGAGAGGAUGAUCAGCCACACUGGAACUGAGACACGGUCCAGACUCCUACGGGACGCAGCAGUGGGGAAUAUUGGACAAUGGGCGCAAGCCUGAUCCAGCCAUACCGCGUGGGUGAAGAAGGCCUUCGGGUUGUAAAGCCCUUUUGUUGGGAAAGAAAAGCAGCAGGUUAAUACCCCGCUGUUCUGGCGGUACCCAAAGAAUAAGCACCGGCUAACUUCGUG